UAGGGAAUCUUCCGCAAUGGACGAAAGUCUGACGGAGCAACGCCGCGUGAGUGAAGAAGGAUUUCGGUUCGUAAAACUCUGUUGUUAGGGAAGAAAAAAUGUAUAGUAACUAUAUACAAAAGAGACGGUACCUAACCAGAAAGCCACGGCUAACUACGUGCCAGCAGCCGCGGUAAUACGUAGGUGGCAAGCGUUGUCCGGAAUUAUUGGGCGUAAAGCGCGCGCAGGUGGUUUAGAAAGUCUGAUGUGAAAGCCCACGGCUCAACCGUGGAGGGUCAUUGGAAACUAAUAAACUUAAGUGCAGGAGAGAAAAGUGGAAUUCCUAGUGUAGCGGUGAAAUGCGUAGAGAUUAGGAGGAACACCGGUGGCGAAAGCGGCUUUUUGGCCUGCAACUGACACUGAGGCGCGAAAGCGUGGGGAGCAAACAGG
rnacentral:rRNA from 1 species